rnacentral:rRNA from 1 species
CCUACGGGAGACAGCAGUAGGGAAUCUUCCACAAUGGGCGAAAGCCUGAUGGAGCAACGCCGCGUGGGUGAAGAAGGUCUUCGGAUCGUAAAACCCUGUCGUUAGAGAAGAAAGCGCGUGAGAGUAACUGUUCACGUUUCGACGGUAACUACCCAUAAAGCCACGGCUAACUACGUGCCAGCAGCCGCGGUAAUACGGAGGUGGCAAGCGUUAUCCGGAUUAAUUGGGCGUAAAGGGAACGCAGGCGGUCUUUUAAGUUUGAUGUGAAAGCCUUCGGCUUAACCGGGGUAGUGCAUUGGAAACUGGGGCACUUGAGUGCAGAAGGGAGGAGUAGAACUCCAUGUGUAGCGGUGAAAUGCGUAGAUAUAUGGAGGAACACCAGUGGCGAAAGCAGCUCUCUGGUCUGUAACUGACGCUGAGGUUCGAAAGCGUGGGUAGCAAACAGGAUUAGAUACCCCGGUAGUC